UACGAAGGUGGCAAGCGUUGUUCGGAUUUACUGGGCGUACAGGGAGCGUAGGCGGUUCGGUAAGCCCCUCUGUGAAAUCUCCAGGCUUAACCUGGAACAGUCGGGAGGGGACUGCUGGGCUAGAGGACGGGAGAGGAGCGCGGAAUUCCCGGUGUAGCGGUGAAAUGCGUAGAGAUCGGGAGGAAGGCCGGUGGCGGAAGGCGGCGCUUCUGGAACGUUUCUGGACGCUG
rnacentral:rRNA from 1 species